rnacentral:miRNA from 1 species
ACCUGGCAUACAAUGUAGAAUUC